AGCGAACGCUGGCGGCAGGCCUAACACAUGCAAGUCGAACGGAUCCUUCGGGAUUAGUGGCGGACGGUUGAGUCACACGUGGGAACGUGCCCUUUUGUUCGGAACAACUCAGGGAAACUUGAGCUAAUACCGGAUGUGCCCUUCGGGGGAAAGAUUUAUCGCCAUUGGAGCGGCCCGCGUCUGAUUAGCUCGUUGGUGAGGUAACGGCCCACCACGGCGACGAUCAGUAGCUGGUCUGAGAGGAUGAUCAGCCACACUGGGACUGAGACACGGCCCAGAAUCCUACGGGAGGCAGCAGUGGGGAAUCUUGCGAAAUGGGCGAAAGCCUGACGCAGCCAUGCCGCGUGAAUGAUGAAGGUCGUAGGAUAGAAAAAUGCUUUCAGCGGGGACGAUAAUGACGGUACCCGCAGAAGAAGCUCCGGCUAACUUCGUG
rnacentral:rRNA from 1 species